AUUGAACGCUGGCGGCAGGCCUAACACAUGCAAGUCGAGCGAGCGGCGGACGGGUGAGUAAUGCCUAGGAAAUUGCCUUGAUGUGGGGGAUAACCAUUGGAAACGAUGGCUAAUACCGCAUACGUCAAGAUAUCCUAGGUGGGAUUAGCUAGUUGGUGAGGUAAUGGCUCACCAAGGCGACGAUCCCUAGCUGGUCUGAGAGGAUGAUCAGCCACACUGGAACUGAGACACGGUCCAGACUCCUACGGGAGGCAGCAGUGGGGAAUAUUGCACAAUGGGCGAAAGCCUGAUGCAGCCAUGCCGCGUGUAUGAAGAAGGCCUUCGGGUUGUAAAGUACUUUCAGUUGUGAGGCGUUAGCAACAGAAGAAGCACCGGCUAACUCCGUGCCAGCAGCCGCGGUAAUUC
rnacentral:rRNA from 1 species